rnacentral:tRNA from 1 species
AAAAUUUUAAGUUAAAUUUAAACUUUUAAUUUUCAAAAUUAAAAAUAUAUUUUUAUUAAUAUAAGUUUUA